AACGAACGCUGGCGGCAGGCCUAAAACAUGCAAGUCGAACGCCCCGCAAGGGGAGUGGCGCACGGGUGAGUAACGCGUGGGAACGUGCCCUUCACUACGGGACAACGUCGGGAAACUGACGCUAAUACCGUAUAAUGACUCCGGUCCAAAGAUUUAUCGGUGGAGGAGCGGCCCGCGUCUGAUUAGCUAGUUGGUGAGGUAAAGGCUUACCAAGGCUACGAUCAGUAGCAGGUCUGAGAGAAUGAUCUGCCACACUGGGACUGAGACACGGCCCAGACUCCUACGGGAGGCAGCAGUUAGGAAUAUUGGACAAUGGGCGAAAGCCUGAUCCAGCCAUGCCGCGUGUGUGAUGAAGGCCCUAGGGUUGUAAAGCACUUUCGUUGGGGAUGAUAAUGACCGUACCCAAAGAAGAAGCACCGGCUAACUUCGUGCCAGCAGCCGCCGUAA
rnacentral:rRNA from 1 species